rnacentral:rRNA from 1 species
AUGUGCUCCGUCUGGAUCAGCGUGGAGCGCCACUGCUCCUGUGACCAUCUGCACGCCAUCAUCUCCACCUUCAGAGUUAGACCAACCAGCGCUCGGCAGAAAGGCAUCGAUAUACUGCAUUCCACCUGCCGCCGCUUGGAUGUGCUCUCUGUUGGACUACCGACCCAUGAAUUCUGCUUCCUACAGGAGUAUGAGGACCAGAAUGCCGUGCCACCUGCAAUGCUGGAGUAUCCAACCAGCUCUCCCGUCAUAGAAUCCUCCAAGAUGCUUGAUUGUUGCAGCAAUUUUCUAUCUGUAAAGCCGGGACAUUACGAGUUUGAGGAGCCUCCUAAGGACCCAGCUGUCCAGAUCAACAAGGACCUAUAUAUUAUUUGCGAAGCUCACUUCCAGACAAUUGUGUAUGUUGCCAAAACAGAGAACGGAAGGGUGAGAUCUCAUGACAAACUUCUCACGCAAAAGCAUGCUCUGGUCUUAUCUUACGACACCGACGAUUACUACCUUGUUCGGUAUCGGUCUCCUCCGUGGCACCUCGUCUUCAGCAGUCGCAGCUCCAACGCAUAUGUUGUCUCUAACACACAAGAUGGCAUAGAUGCAUACGGUCCAACUGAGGAGUCCAAGCUGUUUCCAUGCACGGAGCCUCCUGCUCCCGACCCUUUCUCUAUGGUUCUUGAGGUUGGUAACAGGAUCGUUGAGCUGAGCGAGACUCUCGGCGUUUCCUACCACGAUGGAUCCAAAUGGGUGUGUUGUAGGCACCGUGCAGAUGAAUCUCUUGCUUUGAACGGGAAGAUUGACCUGUCCGGAUAUGCGGUCCUGGGUGACAAUUCCUUCCUGGUAUCGGUGGCAGACACAUGUUCGUUCCUUAUGUUCGACUUGCGUUCCGAGAGAUGGGGCGUUGUGUGGCGUGCUUCUGCUUUGUGCGGAACCCAACUGUUGAAUGGGAGUGUUUGUUAA